CGGGGCGUAGCGCAGGUGGUAGCGCGCCUGCUUUGGGAGCAGGAUGCCGCAGGUUCGAGUCCUGUCGCCCCGACCA
rnacentral:tRNA from 1 species